rnacentral:rRNA from 1 species
AUUGAACGCUGGCGGCAGGCUUAACACAUGCAAGUCGAGCGGGGAAGGGUAGCUUGCUACCUAACCUAGCGGCGGACGGGUGAGUAAUGCUUAGGAAUCUGCCUAUUAGUGGGGGACAACAUUCCGAAAGGAAUGCUAAUACCGCAUACGCCCUACGGGGGAAAGCAGGGGAUCUUCGGACCUUGCGCUAAUAGAUGAGCCUAAGUCAGAUUAGCUAGUUGGUGGGGUAAAGGCCUACCAAGGCGACGAUCUGUAGCGGGUCUGAGAGGAUGAUCCGCCACACUGGGACUGAGACACGGCCCAGACUCCUACGGGAGGCAGCAGUGGGGAAUAUUGGACAAUGGGCGAAAGCCUGAUCCAGCCAUGCCGCGUGUGUGAAGAAGGCCUUUUGGUUGUAAAGCACUUUAAGCGAGGAGGAGGCUACCGAGAUUAAUACUCUUGGAUAGUGGACGUUACUCGCAGAAUAAGCACCGGCUAACUCUGUGCCAGCCGCCGCAGUAAGAC